rnacentral:rRNA from 1 species
GCAUUAUACCGUGAAACUGCGAAUGGCUCAUUAAAUCAGUUAUCGUUUAUUUGAUAAUACCUUACUACUUGGAUAACCGUGGUAAUUCUAGAGCUAAUACAUGCUGAAAAUCCCGACUUCGGAAGGGAUGUGUUUAUUAGAUAAAAAACCAAUGNCCCUUCGGGGCUCCUUGGUGAUUCAUGAUAACUUUACGGAUCGCAUAGCCUUGCGCUGGCGACGGUUCAUUCAAAUUUCUGCCCUAUCAACUUUCGAUGGUAAGGUAUUGGCUUACCAUGGUUUCAACGGGUAACGGGGAAUUAGGGUUCGAUUCCGGAGAGGCAGCCUGAGAAACGGCUACCACAUCCAAGGAAGGCAGCAGGCGCGCAAAUUACCCAAUCCCGACACGGGGAGGUAGUGACAAUAAAUACUGAUACAGGGCUCUUUUGGGUCUUGUAAUUGGAAUGAGUACAAUUCAAAUCUCUUAACGAGGAACAAUUGGAGGGCAAGUCUGGUGCCAGCAGCCGCGGUAAUUCCAGCUCCAAUAGCGUAUAUUAAAGUUGUUGCAGUUAAAAAGCUCGUAGUUGAAACUUGGGCCUGGCUGGCGGGUCCGCCUCACCGCGUGCACUCGUCCGGCCGGGCCUUCCUUCUGAAGAACCUCAUGCCCUUCACUGGGCGUGCUGGGGAAUCAGGACUUUUACUUUGAAAAAAUUAGAGUGUUCAAAGCAGGCCUUUGCUCGAAUACGUUAGCAUGGAAUAAUAAAAUAGGGCGUGCGUUUCUAUUUUGUUGGUUUCUAGAGACGCCGCAAUGAUUAACAGGAACAGUCGGGGGCAUCAGUAUUCAGUUGUCAGAGGUGAAAUUCUUGGAUUUACUGAAGACUAACUACUGCGAAAGCAUUUGCCAAGGAUGUUUUCAUUAAUCAGUGAACGAAAGUUAGGGGAUCGAAGACGAUCAGAUACCGUCGUAGUCUUAACCGUAAACUAUGCCGACUAGGGAUCGGGCGAUGUUCUUUUUCUGACUCGCUCGGCACCUUACGAGAAAUCAAAGU